rnacentral:ncRNA from 1 species
CUCAAGGCUUUGAAAUGAGAAAGUACAUAUUAUUGGUAUUUAGAGAGUGCACGGCAGGUGGGAGUGCAUUACUGAAAAUAUGGAAGGUGCUUCAUUGAGCUUUGAAUUGAACUGUCAAUUGACAAAGUAGAAGAUACGGUCGCUCUCGUUAUCGAGCUUAAAUAAGGACGAUAAAUAUCGAAUUUUCGUAAUUCAUAUUUAAAGUCUAUUAUCUUAAGAGAUAAAAAUCGGAGUGGAACCGCGCACAUAUCGCCUCCUGU